GUUACUCCAACAGGCACAGCUUCCACACCACUGGGGGGCAGAGAGAGGUCUGCUCACAGCAAGACAACUGCUCUAGGACCCUGACUGUCCCCAACAGAUGGCCACAGUCACCACUCACAGGAUCUCCGAGAGAGGAGAAAAUGAAGGAGAUGUGCUGUCAGAAGAAAGAUCUGAUACUACUUGUGAUGGACAAUUUUAUGUGUCAUCUUGACUGGGCUAAGCAUGAGAAGAAGAGAAGACAGAUAACCUUCAGAGGAACAACAGAGAGGGACAUCUGACUUCAUCACAAGCUAGGGAAACCAGAGGUCUCCUGCCAUGAUCAGCCACCAAACUACAGACUUAAAAUCAACAAUUAUGGCCUGGAAACUCUAAAAUUGUGAGCCAAAUAAAACGUAGUCUCCUGGUAAGUUCAUUAUCUGAGAUAUCUUGUUAUACUAUCUGAAAGCUGACAUAGAGGUAUUUAAAACUGCCUGUACA